rnacentral:rRNA from 1 species
AACUGAAGAGUUUGAUCAUGGCUCAGAUUGAACGCUGGCGGCAGGCUUAACACAUGCAAGUCGAGCGGGGGAAGGUAGCUUGCUACUGGACCUAGCGGCGGACGGGUGAGUAAUGCUUAGGAAUCUGCCUAUUAGUGGGGGACAACAUCUCGAAAGGGAUGCUAAUACCGCAUACGUCCUACGGGAGAAAGCAGGGGAUCUUCGGACCUUGCGCUAAUAGAUGAGCCUAAGUCGGAUUAGCUAGUUGGUGGGGUAAAGGCCUA